rnacentral:rRNA from 1 species
UAGGAUCAUGAGUGGGUCACUUAACUUGUGUGUGGAUGAAGAGUGCAGCCAACUAUGUGAAUUAAUGUGACCUGCGUACUGCUUCGAACAUCGACAUCUUGAAUGCAUAUCGUGGCUAAGGGAUAGCGUGUCGUCGCUACGUGUAUCUGAGGAUCG